AUUGAACGCUGGCGGCAGGCCUAACACAUGCAAGUCGAACGAGUGGCGGACGUGUUAGUAAUGACUGGGAAACUUCCUGAUGGAGGGGGAUAACUACUGGAAACGGUAGCUAAUACCGCAUACCAUCGGCUUUGCCCAGAUGGGAUUAGCGAGGUGGUGGGGUAACGGCUCACCUAGGCGACGAUCCCUAGCUGGUCUGAGAGGAUGACCAGUCACACUGGAACUGAGACACGGUCCAGACUCCUACGGGAGGCAGCAGUGGGGAAUAUUGCACAAUGGGCGCAAGCCUGAUGCAGCCAUGCCGCGUGUAUGAAGAAGGCCUUCGGGUUGUAAAGUACUUUCAGCGGGGAGGCGUUACCCGCAGAAGAAGCACCGGCUAACUCCGUGCCAGCAGCCGCGGUAAUAC
rnacentral:rRNA from 1 species